rnacentral:lncRNA from 10 species
UGCCAUUACUGUCCCAUUUCACAGUUGAGAACACUAAGGUCCAAGACGAAAACUCAGGAUCACACUGCUGGGAAGAGAAAGGCCAAAAUAGAAGCCCACUCCAUCUGGCUGCAUAGCCCACGCCAGGGUGGUGAUUCACACACUCUUAAGGGUGGGCUACAGGCUGGGCACCUGCCCAUCGCAUCCUGAGUCAGGGAGCAGUGAGGGAAGCAGGCCCAGCUGUCCUGGCGACCCAUGUCUUUCUGCAGAACGGGGAAUUCUCCAAUGUUGGUGCUGAGUCAUCAGGGCUGCGGAUGGAGACCCGGACUGCAGCUCAGAAGCUCCCUUUGAGUUCUUAUCACACAAGACACCUACCCUGUGUGGGGCUGGACUGUUCAUUUUCGGGCAUUUUAAAUACACAGACUCCAACUUCUGUCAAAAAAGGUGGUUAUUAAUAUGCUGCUGAACUGAAAACGUUCUUGCUCUGAAACCUUUCACUGGAAGGCUGGGCUCAGCUGGGACUGUCUAUCAG